AUGAAGAGGUGGUUGAGCACUUUAUUUGGACUUCUGUGUGUGCAGGUUUUAUGUGUGAGAGGGGUGCAGGUGGACCAGAACCCUCCAGUCCUGAGCCUCCAGGAGGGAGACAGCUACACCCUGAGGUGCAAUUUUUCUACUUCUGUGAGCAACAUGCAGUGGUUUCGUCAAAGUCCCGAAGGACAUCUCAUCAGCCUCUUUUACAUUCCUUCAGGAACAAAGCAGAAUGGAAGAUUAAACGCCACGACAGUAACUAAAGAACGUCUCAGCUUACUACACAUUUCCUCUUCCCAGACCACAGACUCAGCCAUUUACCUCUGUGCUGUGGAGCCACAGUGCUUCCCCAGCACCUGCUGCCUGUAA